UAGUAGUAUGGGAUAGCCACUAGAAAUGGUGGGUAAUACUGUAUAAUCCCUGCGGGGGAAAGAUUUAUCGCUAUUAGAUGAGCCUAUGUUAGAUUAGCUAGUUGGUAGGGUAAAGGCCUACCAAGGCGAUGAUCUAUAGCUGGUCUGAGAGGAUGAUCAGCCACACUGGAACUGAGAUACGGUCCAGACUCCUACGGGAGGCAGCAGUGGGGAAUAUUGGACAAUGGGCGCAAGCCUGAUCCAGCUAUGCCGCGUGAGUGAGGAAGGCCUUAGGGUUGUAAAACUCUUUCAGUAGGGAAGAUAAUGACGGUACCUACAGAAGAAGUCCCGGCAAACUCCGUGCCAGCAGCCGCGGUAAUACGGAGGGGGCAAGCGUUGUUCGGAAUUAUUGGGCGUAAAGGGCAUGUAGGCGGUUCGGUAAGUUAAAGGUGAAAUGCCAGGGCUUAACCCUGGAGCUGCUUUUAAUACUGCCAGACUAGAGUCCGGGAGAGGAUAGCGGAAUUCCUAGUGUAGAGGUGAAAUUCGUAGAUAUUAGGAGGAACACCAGUGGCGAAGGC
rnacentral:rRNA from 1 species